rfam:Rhinolophus ferrumequinum clone VMRC7-305L23, complete sequence.
UGCUUGCUCUUCCUGUGAGGUGAAGGCAAGUGUCCCUGCAGAGUCUACUGUGUCUAGAGAUGCUUUUAGAGAGCUGUGGGUUUUCUUCCUCAGGAAAGCUGAGGACACCAUUGAGGGAGGCAGAUCCGUAAGGCCACCAGGAGCCAGAGCUUCCAUGACCCAGGCCCAGCUCUGCUCUUGUAAGGUUGUGGAACUGGUAAAAAUGUUCCAGAGUUGUUCUGGGUAUCUGUUUGGCUUGCUCUUCUCAAUAUCUUGAUCACUUAUGGCAUCUUUAAUAUUCCUAACCUUAUUUGAUCAUAUUUUGUG